GUGGGGGAUAGUGAGGGGAUAAAUUUUCUUAAGGAACUCGGCAAAAUCCCAAUGGCCCACCAGGGCAUAUUGGAACACGGGCCUCGACUGUUUACCAAAAACAUAGCCCUCGGCUAAUAUGAAAAUAGAUGUAUAGAGGGUGAUGCCUGCCCAAUGGUUGUAUCUAAAAGCGGUUGAUAAAAGUUGACCUCGUAAGGACAAUUGAAUGGCCGCGGUAACACUGACCGUGAUAAUGUAGCGUAAUCAAUAGCCAAUUAAUUGUUGGCCAGUAUGAAUGGCGCCACGAAGGCCCCACUGUCUUAAGGAAAUUCCCAGUGAAAUUGAAUUCGUAGUGAAGAUGCUACGUCCAAUUUGUUAGACGAAAAGACCCCGUUGAGCUUUACUGGAGCACUUACAUGGCCCCGGCCUUCCCAUGCCUGGGGACCGGCCGAAUUUAAAUGGGCGGCUUAGAUUAUGUGGCAGCCCCCCGCUGGGGCAAAUGAAACACCACUCCCCCAUGUCAAAGGGGCUAACCCCCCCCCCUUGGGGGGGACAGUGUAAGUAGGACAGUUUGGUUGGGGCGACCACCUUUUAAAAAGUAACGAAGGUGCGCUUAAGGUGCGCAAUUAAUGACUGAAGCCUGACUGCGAGGGGGACACCCCGAGCAGACACCCCAAAGCCCGCCCGAAAGGCGGCGGUGGGGUGGGCCAUAGUGACCCGUUAAUUUAGAGUGGAAUAGUUAACGAUCAACGAAUAAAAGUUACCACGGGGAUAACAGCGUAAUAUC
rnacentral:rRNA from 1 species